rnacentral:lncRNA from 1 species
AAUAAAACAGUAUCAUAUAGUAUAAGGUAUGAUGUUAAGGAUGUUCGCUACUCUGUUUCAAAAUAAUUUGUCUAUAACUUCUCAAGAAGAUAGUUUUGAGAACGACUUGAUAAGACGUCUAAGCUGGUUUCCUAUAUGAUUUCUCAUCUUCUAUAAUAUAAGACAAUGCAAUCAGAACAAAAAAUAAAUGUCAUUAGGACUAAC